rnacentral:rRNA from 1 species
AUUGAAUGCUGGCGGCAGGCCUAACACAUGCAAGUCGAACGGUAACAGGAAGAAGCUUGCUUCUUUGCUGACGAGUGGCGGACGGGUGAGUAAUGUCUGGGAAACUGCCUGAUGGAGGGGGAUAACUACUGGAAACGGUAGCUCAUACAGCAUAACGUCGCAAGACCAAAGAGGGGGACCUUCGGGCCUCUUGCCCUCGGAUGUGCCCAGAUGGGAUUAGCUAGUAGGUGGGGUAACGGCGCACCUAGGCGACGCUCCCUAGCUGGUCUGAGAGGAUGACCAGCCACACUGGAACUGAGACACGGUCCAGACUCCUACGGGAGGCAGCAGUGGGGAAUAUUGCACAAUGGGCGCAAGCCUGAUGCAGCCAUGCCGCGUGGAUGAAGAAGGCCUUCGGGUUGUAAAGUACUUUCAGCGGGGAGGAAGGGAGUAAAGUUAAUACCUUUACUCAUUGACGUUACCCGCAGAAGAAGCACCGGCUAACUCCGUG